CACAAGGUUUAUGACCACAAAAGGAAGGUUGGGAUUGAUUUUGGAAGGUUUUGGUGCCAACAGUUUAGGAAUUAGGGGCCAAAAAAGGGCCCAAAUAAGCAUUAUUCUUGGUUUUCUCACAAUAACUUUAGUUUAAGUAAAUAGAAAUCUAUGAAAUUUAAACACAAGGUUUAUAACCAUAAAAGGAAGGUUGGGAUUGAUUUCGGGAGUUUUGGCCCAACGAAUUAGGGGCCAAAAGGGGCC
rnacentral:lncRNA from 1 species